AGCUGAGCCAAGACUUGGUUUUGGCUCUUCAUCCUCCAAAAUGUGCAGUGACUGAUCUUUGUUGAGAUUAGAUUUACAUUAUGUUAUUUGGACUCUACCACAGUGAGAUUUUCUUUUCUCACUUGAAGUAACUCGUGGAUGUGUUGAAAUCUGAUGAAUAUUUAAGUUAAAAGGUGAAGACAAAGGUCAAAUGUGUGUUAAAGUCCGUCCAGCUCACCAGUUAUCUUUUAUCUUAUUUUAUUUUUUAGAAAAUUUGAAUACUUUAAUUCAUGAAUUAUAACUACUUCGGCUCUAUAUUUAUUUGAUUUUUGGCACAUUAGCUGAUAUAUUUAAUAUAUUUUUUAAUGUAUAGACUUCUGUCUUUUUCUCUCAUAUCCCGAGAUUUUUUCAUAUUUAUUUGUUCAGCUACUGAGACAAGAGCCCAAUGACAUCCCCACUUUCUCUCAGACAGCUUAAACACUUGGCAGCAGUUGUUAGUCCAUUUACACUGACAAAAGACCUUUCAGCUUCACUUGAAGUGGACAAAUGAAAGCCACAGGAGCUAUAAUAACUUUCCACCAUUCAGACCUUCUCCCUCUAUCGUUUUACCAUCUCCGUGCUGUCUUCCUGUUAAACGUAUUUUCAUUUCUCCUGCCAGUCGGCCUCUCCCUCUCUCCUUGUCUGAUGGGCUAAAUCUGUCACUGUCCUGUUAGAGAAAUAAACAGAGCAGGAGGACAGAGAGUCACUGUGUUCUGGUCUCUCUGAGUUCUGAUGAGAAGGGCAGACAGAGCACUGGCAACACUACAGUGAGGCUGUCUGGGAGAAAGGGACUGUUAGCAAGAAAACAUUACGUCGUCAAAGCAGAGCAGAAAGGUCACUUGAGAUUUACUCGGGAUGCUCGGUGACAAACAAAACUCUGCUCGAGUAAAAAGAAGCCAAACAGGAUGGACUGAAUUUACUCACAAAAUAAGAACCAAAGAAACCAGAGAUGGACAUUAUCCAUCUAAGAAGAGCCUUUUGUUGGACUUAAUUUAAAAGUUACAUAUUACUCUUUUAAAACAAAGAAAAAAUACAAAUAAUAUUGCACCCUGUGAAUAUUUUCUAGAUCUUGACAAGCCUUAGUGUAGUGCUACUGAAUGAAGCACCUCAUAACAAUGAGUGACCAAAAUUUGAUGAUACAUGUUUCUUUUUUUUUUAACAUGUAUUGUGUUAGUCUUUUGUCUCUAUGUAAAUUUAACAUUUGGAAAAAAUACAUACACCGUGUCUUAACAGCAGGAAAUGUUCAAGUGAUCAUCAGCAACAAGUUAGCUCGGCUGAAUUGUUUAGUGUUGGAGUAUCCAAACCAGAGAGUGACACAGCUCUGGGCAGUUUCAGAUGAGGCACCAUUUUGACCUAAUGCCCUGUUUCUAGUUUUGUCAUAUUAUUUGUGUACAAAGAAGCAGCAGGGUUUUGCUGUGUUAUACCUGUCACGUGACAGAGUUGAACAAUGGAAAUAGGACCCAAAUGCAGAACAAAAAGAACGAAAUAAAAAGCAACAAAAACACUACCAGGACACAAAGGAUUCACGCAUAAAAGAUCAUGGGGAACAGGCAGACAUACACACAUCAACAUACAAUUCAUCAACAAGGACAGAGGGGAAGACAGGGACUAUAUACACACAGGGAAACGAGCAACAGGUGAGGCUAAUGAGACACAGGUGAAACUCAUGGGUGAUUAAUGAGGGAGGGAAAAUUAGGGAAGUAAAACCAGACUAGAAACACAGGGAAUCAACUCCUACAAAAUAAAACAGGAAACACUGAAAACUGAUCUAAAGAAUAAAACACAGAUAACAGGAGGGAAACAGGGUCAAACACAAACUAAGAACUCACAAGACAGGACUACAGGGGAACAGGAGCAGCAGGAAAUAACACACAGAAAAUACACUCAAAUGACAAAACCAGGAAAAAACUAAAUUAACAGAGCAUAUGACAAUACCUCCUCAUUUCACUGCUAAAACCUCAGUAAAGUGGCAGCCAGGGUGCUGGAAGUGUUACAUAAGACAGUAGCCAUGUUCACAUGUGCAAAAUUUCUUGAUUCGAAAAUUUGAGGGAUUGGAUAAUCUGAAUUCACGUUUGUAUGGGUGCAAAAUCAAAUAAUCUGAUCGUGACGUAUGAAUCAUGCAACAAGCUUUUUUCAGAUUAGAAGCAUUUGGACAUGCGCAGAGUUGUCUGAUUUCGCUAAAACACCUGCAGAAGAAGAGUUGUAUUUACGCCUGUGCUGUCAACAAACCAUAAAACGCUGUAGUGGCUUCAUCCAAUUCAGGAGUUUUCUCCCUGUUAACUGUUGUCACUAGAUGGCACUCUUGCUCACGUAUUUUACUGUUCUGUCAAAAGUUGCACUGUGCGUGCAGGUGUGACAUCAUUACGCUUUAUAUAUGCCUUAUUAUGUUACCAGAGGUGCAGACACGGCUCCUGUGGUUGUGUUUUAUGCCAGAGUGUUAAUAAUGAAACCUCCUGAACUGGCCUCAAUAAAUAAGCUAAAGAGUGAAGACUGAGUCAGGUAAGACAGUCACGAUCAUAAUAAGCGUUUACAUGGACACAUUUCGGGAUUACGAUCGGCAUAAACCACCCCUCUCAAUCAGAAUACAAUUUAUUUCUGAUUGAGCCGAAUUGGAUCAGAAUCUUCUGAUCGACAUGUUUACAUGACUCAUCUUUAUCCCAAUCGGGCAUUUAUUCAAAUUAUUUGUGCUCAUGUAAACGCAGCUAACCUCAGACAACUAGCUAGACAUUCUUUCUUCGUAAUUUAGGGAAAAUCCUCAUUGAAAGUUACUCUUCAGUUUUCAGGUAUCCCAACAGCAGUCUUAUGGAUUGCUGUUUGCUUUUGUGAGUCCAGAAGUGCUGAUAGGUUGGUAGAUUUACUCAGAAAUAUUACUCAUUAUUAACCUAAUAUUUUUGUUUAUUACGGUCCAUAUUCUUGCCACAAAUAAGACUCUGCCACUGAUGCUGUCUGGGAGAUGUGAUUGAUCUUUAAAGCACUGAAAAGCAAAACAAGAUAUGACCCAGCUAUAAUUUUAAAAUCCACAAGUUUUUAGAAAACUUUUAUGAAGAAAUAGAAAAGCCUGAAUUUUUAUGAGUUUUUUAAAUCGUUGACAACAGAGAUGAUGCACUUUACUUUAUCUGGUUUUGGAAUAGCUUCACUUAAACCUCUGAUAAGUAUUUAGCUGCUUGUGAAAUAGACAAAAACUCCUACUGAUCCAUCUUUGUAACCAAAAAUAAACAAACAUGACUGGGAAAAACAUUGAUAUGAGUAAUAUUUUUAUGUAACUAAAAAAAACGUUUACAGUUGUUACCACUGUAAACUGAAAGUUCCUCAUGGGAUCUAUUAAAAGCUCUCAAAUUAAAUCCCUGAAUUAUUAUUCAUUUUGAGUUAAUGUAUCAGGCUUAUUCUGUUCUCCUUGGUUUUUGACUGCGAUUUUCCAAGCUGGUCUCAUCUUAAGGAGUAGUCUGCUUUGCCAUCCCUGCAACCAAAAUAAAUCUUUCAGUUUUCUCAGCACUAGGGGAAUACAGUAAUGCUCUAAUGCUGCAACAAAACCCCUUAAAUGUAAAAGACAGGGUUCACUGACCACUUUGAUGUGUUGAACUGCUGCAGAUUAAUGAAGUCUGGCUACUCGACUGGAACAAAUCAGGUCCAUUGCAGUGCAACAACUGAAGCUGGUUAUGGUCAUUAUAAAGAGGAUCAAAGACAGAUUCAUGGUUCACAUUUAGAACAAUAACAGUCACUUCAGGGCAGAAAUCACUGUGGUAAUACUUCAGCAUAAUACAUCAUAUUUGACUGGGCUUUGAGGGUGUCUGCCAGUCUUAGUCUGUAAAUCUGGUAGCCACAGUAGCUUGGAACCCUGCUGAUAUUUAGUCAUGGGCGCGUGUCUGGAGGCCGAGCAGAUUGCCACUUGUAGGUGGGUGUGAGUCACCAAAUAAACCAAAUGAAUGGUUGGUGAUGUUCUGGAUCCAAAAUGAUCCAUGGCAUAAUAGGAGCGAGGACAUCUGGCAGGUGGAAAAACAAACUAGUGAAUCACACAGUG